GUGGAGAAAUGAGGACAGGAGCACCUCCGUAAAGCACAGAGCCUCACUUGUGGUUGCUGACUCAGUUGGUGUGGCUUUGAUAGAACCACUGCAAUUAAGCGCCGUGAUGAGCAAGGACUUGUUCGGCUCUUCAUAAGGAGGUUUUACAGUACCUUGAGGAAUUCCAGUGGACCAGAUCAUGUCAGGACCCCCGGUGGAGACUUUCUCUCAGAUGCUGAAGCCAAGCCAAGCAGAGCAGUGCAACAAGUAUUGGGGCAUUUCUAAAAAUCUGCCACCGCCUCCCCACAACCACCUCCAGGGACGAUAUUUUGAAGCUCAUGUUAAUUGUAUCCCUUAAAAUUCAUUUGGGGGGAAAAUACCUGAUAAACUGGGAAUCUUCAGGAAAUCUAUUCCUGAAACAAAAUGUCCCUUUCUUUCUCCCUUUCCUUACCUGGUCUAGAACUAGUCAGCCCCUUUUUACUGCACUAUUCUACUACAAAUAUUGUAACCUGGCUUCAUUUGGCUACAGCCCAAGCCUGGGAAGAAGCUGACCAUGUUCACAGCCUAGCUAAUCAUGCCAGUGUGUCCAAGCUUUAUGAGUGUCUGUCUGUCUUUUUUUCUCUAUAGGUCAAUAUAAAUUUAGAAUGAGAGAAAAAUACUUAAUUUUAAUUCUGAUAUUUAAAAGAACCCAGCUAUCACUGCUGUGUAUCUUGAUGAAAAUAAUAUGGUAAUCAUUUCUCAAGAUACAGAAGGAAAAGAAACACUCACAAUGAAAUACCACUAUACCCCACCAGCUUGACAAUACUAAGUGUUGGUGAAAAGUGGAGCAUUUGUAAUUUCCAUCAAAUGAAUGUCAUUUCAUUUGUAAUUUUCAUCAUUUCUGUGACACCAAGAUACAGAAAGAGGGACUGAUGGGUCGGGCUGGCCUGUUAUUCAGACCAACCUAGAGGCGUUAGAAACAUGAGGGCAGGAGGUGUGUUUGACAUCACAGGUGGGUGUGAAAACUGUCACAUCACUUAGGAAAAUAUGUGACAUCCACUGGCAGUGAUGAAAAUUACACUCCUCAUCUCCCCAACACUGAACACUGUCAAUCCCGUCAACCUGUAAUGCUGAAUAUGGACAUGCUCUUCAGUCAGGCAGUUUCACUCUUUGUUUACUCCCCAAACAAUCCCAUGCAGAUGUACAAUAAGACCUAUGUCAAAGAACA